UCGCGUUAAGGCCUGAAUUAAUGCAUCAAAAUGGGUUUGACGUGCUUGAAGGACAACUCCAUCUAAGUUUUUUUCCAGGUUGUAUAAAUGGAAACGCCCACAGCCGUUAGCAAAAGCAGUGAGGUGGGUUAGAGCACUAAUGCCCCCUGGAGGAGAGAGCUGGGAGCAGAGCUGGAGCAUCAAGACGAAUAACACCUGCAAGUCACAUUGGAUUCUGCUCUGAUCCGGAGCCGUUUACUGGCGGGAGGAGAGUUCAAGAGUUUAUUUUUUAAACUUUGAGCAGCAGCAACAUGCCUCAGAGGGAGCUGGUGCUGCAGCCAGGCCAGGGAGGCAGGAUGUUCCCAUGCUAUGGAGUGUCAGGCAGCUGGCUGGCCCGCAGCCAAGCCAAACCUGUGGCGGCUGGAAGGAGAGCGGCCCAGCACUGAGAUCCAGUUACCAUUUCCUCAAUCACUGAGCAAGAGAGAAAGAGACCUGAUGAGCAGUCUUUCCUGUCUACAGAGAGAUGAUAAAAUGAUAGAUUUGGAGAGCAGGCUCGGCUGUGGGCAAAUGCCCCGCGCCAGCGAAAGAUGAAAGCCGCAUUUCAAAUUUCACUAAGAAAGAUAAACUGCCAAUUCUCUCAUUUCUUCUUCUUCUCCCAACAUGCCCGUCAACCUCCGCCCCCGUGGAAAAGGAGGGAGAGGUGAAAUAGAUGUGUGUACCCCAUAUGGAAGCCAUUCUCCCGUCCCUCUAUUCACUGCUGGGAAUGUUUUGACGUUUUCUGGAGAUGAGCACUGUGAUGUCACACACUGGCACAGUACUGCUGUGUCAGGAAAGAGGAGGAGAAAGAGAGCGAACGGAGAGAGAGGAGGGGUGGCGGUUGGCGGGAGGAGGGGGCAGGAGAGAGCGAAUUGCUGAGCCGCCAGUUUUUUCUCACCACACUGUAAAUUAGCGUGCCGGUUCCUUGAUGGAAAACAUUCGGGGGGCAACACCGAGGGGCCUCCUGAGACCCGAGAAAUGCGAGAGAGCCGUGUUCAGUCAUGGAUGGGGGUUUUGGUGUCCUUUCAGUUAAAAAAGGCCCAUGAACAAAACUUCUCUCCGUCAGGAUGGGUCCCAGCAGAGGAGCAAAAGCCUGAGAGAGAGCAGAUGAGCCCUGCUCUGAAACAGCAGGGGCUGCUUCUAAUAAAGUCUCUACAUACUCCCCCCUUUAUGGAAAAAUCAGAGGCGGUACAAACAGCCCGGCCUCACACUCUGCUGGAGAUAAUUAGGUAAAAAUAGAAGAGUAAUUUCCACUGGUUAAUAUUACACAUCUGUGGUGUUGUCCCACUGACUGUCUCUUGAAGGGGGACAUGCUGCGAGCUUCAGACACACUCCCAAGGCUUUAUUUACCAAUGACACUCCAUGUAAAGCAGAUACACUUACCUCACUGACCUUACUUAAUCAUUGUUGUCAUUCAAAAAUGUUGGAUGUUAAAAAAUAAAGAUGUUUAGUCUAGAAUUUC